rnacentral:rRNA from 1 species
AACGAACGCUGGCGGCAGGCCUAACACAUGCAAGUCGAGCGGACCCUUCGGGGUUAGCGGCGGACGGGUGAGUAACGCGUGGGAACGUGCCCUUUGCUUCGGAAUAGCCCUGGGAAACUGGGAGUAAUACCGGAUACGCCCUUUUGGGGAAAGAUUUAUCGGCGAAGGAUCGGCCCGCGUUGGAUUAGGUAGUUGGUGGGGUAAUGGCCUACCAAGCCGACGAUCCAUAGCUGGUUUGAGAGGAUGAUCAGCCACACUGGGACUGAGACACGGCCCAGACUCCUACGGGAGGCAGCAGUGGGGAAUCUUAGACAAUGGGGGAAACCCUGAUCUAGCCAUGCCGCGUGAGCGAUGAAGGCCUUAGGGUUGUAAAGCUCUUUCACCGGGGAAGAUAAUGACGGUACCCGAAGAAGAAGCCCCGGCUAACUCCGUG